rnacentral:rRNA from 1 species
UGGGGAAUCUUGCACAAUGGGCGAAAGCCUGAUGCAGCAACGCCGCGUGCGGGAAGAAGGCCCUAGGGUUGUAAACCGCUUUCAGCAGGGAAGAAACUGACGGUACCUGCAGAAGAAGGUGCGGCCAACUACGUGCCAGCAGCCGCGGUGACACGUAGGCACCAAGCGUUGUCCGGAUUUAUUGGGCGUAAAGAGCUCGUAGGCGGUUCGGUAAGUCGGGUGUGAAAACUCUGGGCUCAACCCAGAGCCGCCACCCGAUACUGCUGUGACUCGAGUGCGGUAGGGGAGCGGGGAAUUCCUGGUGUAGCGGUGAAAUGCGCAGAUAUCAGGAGGAACACCAGUGGCGAAGGCGCCGCUCUGGGCCGUGACUGACGCUGAGGAGCGAAAGCGUGGGUAGCAAACAGG